CCCCGCCCCCCCGGAGGCGGCGGUGGUGGCAGUCGGCUGAAACCCGGGCCACAGCUGCCGGGCCGCGGGGGCCGCCGAGCGACGGGAGGACCUCUGGGGGGCGGCGCGGCGGCGCCGGAGGACGACGACGAAGACGAAGAGGAGGAGCUGCUGGAAGUACGCCUGCUGGAGACCCCCGGGCGCGAGCUGUGGAGGAUGGUCCCGGCGGGGCGCGCCGCCCGCGGACCCGCGGAGCGCGCGCAGGGGCCAUCCAGCGAGGGGGCGGCCGC
rnacentral:lncRNA from 1 species